CUUUGCCUCCGAAGUGAGUGAUACCCUGCUUCCAGGAAAAGCCACUAAGCUUCAGCUUGCAACGACCGUACCGCAAACCGACACUGGUGCGCGAGAUGAGUAUUCUCAGGCGCUUGAGAGAACUCGGGAGAAGGAACUCGGCAAAUUGACACCGUAACUUCGGAAGAAGGUGUGCCCUUAGUAGGUGAACCCGUACAGGGGGAGCCCAAUGGGGUUGCAAAAAAUCGGUGGCUGCGACUGUUUAAUAAAAACACAGCACUCUGCAAACACGAAAGUGGACGUAUAGGGUGUGACGCCUGCCCGGUGCUGGAAGAUUAAGUGAUGGGGUGCAAGCUCUUGAUCGAAGUCCCAGUAAACGGCGGCCGUAACUAUAACGGUCCUAAGGUAGCGAAAUUCCUUGUCGGGUAAGUUCCGACCUGCACGAAUGGCGUAACGAUGGCCACACUGUCUCCUCCCGAGACUCAGCGAAGUUGAAAUGUUUGUGAUGAUGCAAUCUCCCCGCGGAAAGACGGAAAGACCCCAUGAACCUUUACUGUAGCUUUGUAUUGGACUUUGAACGGAUCUGUGUAGGAUAGGUGGGAGGCUUUGAAGCCCGGUCGCUAGAUCGGGUGGAGCCAACGUUGAAAUACCACCCUGGUGCGUUUGAGGUUCUAACCUAGGCCCGUUAUCCGGGUCGGGGACAGUGCAUGGUAGGCAGUUUGACUGGGGCGGUCUCCUCCCAAAGCGUAACGGAGGAGUUCGAAGGUACGCUAGUUACGGUCGGACAUCGUGACGAUAGUGCAAUGGCAUAAGCGUGCUUAACUGCGAGACUGACAAGUCGAGCAGAUGCGAAAGCAGGACAUAGUGAUCCGGUGGUUCUGUAUGGAAGGGCCAUCGCUCAACGGAUAAAAGGUACUCUGGGGAUAACAGGCUGAUACCGCCCAAGAGUUCAUAUCGACGGCGGUGUUUGGCACCUCGAUGUCGGCUCAUCUCAUCCUGGGGCUGUAGCCGGUCCCAAGGGUAUGGCUGUUCGCCAUUUAAAGAGGUACGUGAGCUGGGUUUAAAACGUCGUGAGACAGUUUGGUCCCUAUCUUCCGUGGGCGCUGCAGAUUUGAGGAAGCCUGCUCCUAGUACGAGAGGACCGGAGUGGACGCACCUCUGGUGUACCUGUUGUCACGCCAGUGGCAUUGCAGGGUAGCUAAGUGCGGAAGAGAUAACCGCUGAAAGCAUCUAAGCGGGAAACUCGUUUCAAGAUGAGAUCUGCCGGGGCCUUGAGCCCCCUGAAGAGUCGUUCUAGACCAGGACGUUGAUAGGUCGGGUGUGGAAGCGCAGUAAUGCGUUAAGCUAACCGAUACUAAUUGCUCGUGCGGCUUGACCCG
rnacentral:rRNA from 1 species